CGCACAUUGCGCCCCUUGGUAUUCCAUGGGGCAUGCCUGUUCGAGCGUCAGAAAACACCCUCCAGCCUGGCUGGGUGCUGGGCGUUGUUGUUCCGCCGCGCGCGCGAACUCGCCUCAAACAUAUUGGCAGCCGGCCGUCCUCGGCAGGAGCGCAGCACAUUUUGCGUUUCCCCGUGGGUACGGCGGCAUCCACAAGUCUUUUUUUUUUUCUGUUUGACCUCGGAUCAGGUAGGGAUACCCGCUGAACUUAA
rnacentral:misc_RNA from 1 species